GAUGAACGCUGGCGGCGUGCCUAAUACAUGCAAGUCGAGCGAACGGACGAGAAGCUUGCUUCUCUGAUGUUAGCGGCGGACGGGUGAGUAACACGUGGAUAACCUACCUAUAAGACUGGGAUAACUUCGGGAAACCGUAGCUAAUACCGGAUAAUAUUUUGAACCGCAUUGUUCAAAAGUGAAAGACGGUCUUGCUGUCACUUAUAGAUGGAUCCGCGCUGCAUUAGCUAGUUGGUAAGGUAACGGCUUACCAAGGCAACGAUGCAUAGCCGACCUGAGAGGGUGAUCGGCCACACUGGAACUGAGACACGGUCCAGACUCCUACGGGAGGCCGCAGUAGGGAAUCUUCCGCAAUGGGCGAAAGCCUGACGGAGCAACGCCGCGUGAGUGAUGAAGGUCUUCGGAUCGUAAAACUCUGUUAUUAGGGAAGAACAUAUGUGUAAGUAACUGUGCACAUCUUGACGGUACCUAAUCAGAAAGCCACGGCUAACUACGUG
rnacentral:rRNA from 1 species